AUAAGAGCAGAGGUUGUCAGUUAAUUGGGUGCCAAGAGUUCGGUCCGGUUAAUCCCGGGUCUAUUUGUACGGGGCGUAACCAAUAUGUGCCUUCUCACGGGAAUAAAGAUAGGUCUGAUAAUUCCUUUGUAGUAAAAUUGAUUUUGAGGUUCACCAGUGUUCGCUCAGUGGUCAAAAUUAUCAUAAUCAAUGAUGCCUCCAGAUUUAAACUCAUGGUUUGCAUUACAUUACUUUGUAUUGCUAUUAAUUGACAUGAAAUUUCACGAAACAGCAAUGUACGCAGCAUACGAGACUAAAUUUCUUAACUUUAAGAUACAUAGCAUGUAGUGUAGAACACAUUAGAAAAUAAUAAUGAAGAAUAACAAUAGUUAUUGAAGAAAAAUGAAGAAAUUGAAAAUAUUCUGAAAAUACUUUUUAGAGAUAUCGUGAUAAGAAUUAUAUUUUCGUUCAUCCUAUUUUAGGAAGCGAUUCUAAGACACCUUGUAUAAUAAUAUGUUUUUACGGGGAAUUGUCGUCACUUACACUUUGACAGACACUACGUUUAAUAAAAAAAAUAUUCGCAAAUAA